GGGGUUGUGGCUCGGUGGUAAAGCACUUUCCUCACACGUAGGAGGUACUGGGUUCAAUCCUCAGCAACACAU
rfam:Ictidomys tridecemlineatus contig018867, whole genome shotgun sequence.